rnacentral:tRNA from 1 species
UCCCGUGUGGCUCAGUUGGUAGAGCAUGAUGUUUGCAACGCCAGGGUUGUGGGUUCGAUUCCCACAGGGGAC